GGCGGCAUAGCCAAGCGGUAAGGCAGAGGUCUGCAAAACCUUUAUCACCGGUUCGAUUCCGGUUGCCGCCUCCA
rnacentral:tRNA from 1 species